AUUGAACGCUGGCGGCAUGCCUUACACAUGCAAGUCGAACGGAUCAGGGGAGCUUGCUCUUCUGGUUAGUGGCGAACGGGUGAGUAAUGCAUCGGAACGUACCCAGUAGUGGGGGAUAACGUAGCGAAAGUUACGCUAAUACCGCAUACGACCUGAGGGUGAAAGCAGGGGAUCGCAAGACCUUGCGCUAUUGGAGCGGCCGAUGUCGGAUUAGCCAGUUGGUAGGGUAAAAGCCUACCAAGGCGACGAUCCGUAGCUGGUCUGAGAGGACGACCAGCCACACUGGGACUGAGACACGGCCCAGACUCCUACGGGAGGCAGCAGUGGGGAAUUUUGGACAAUGGGGGAAACCCUGAUCCAGCCAUGCCGCGUGAGUGAAGAAGGCCUUCGGGUUGUAAAGCUCUUUCAGACGGAAAGAAAUCUUCCGGGCUAAUACCUCGGGAGGAUGACGGUACCGUAAGAAGAAGCACCGGCUAACUACGUGCCAGCCGCCGCCGUAA
rnacentral:rRNA from 1 species